rnacentral:lncRNA from 10 species
GAAGAGUGGAGAAGAGUCGAGAAGAGUGGAGAAGAGUCGAGAAGAGUCGAGAAGAGUGGACAAGGCGAACCGUCUGCAGCGAGGCGGGGCUGGGGGGCGCGGGGAGGACGGGGUUCAGGCCGGUGUCGCUCUCAAGGGGCAGCCCUGGUGUCACCCCCACCCCCUCCCACGCUGAAGCCUUCCGGCCGAGCUGUGGCAUCCACGCAAAUGGGGCCGCCUCGGCACCUCCAGGCCAGAAUUUAAAUGUUAUCAGCGGCAAUUGAUCUGCUCGGGACUGAGGUUUCGGGUCCUCUGCGGAAUUGGGAGGAGCGUGGAUGGUGAAGGAGCUGCUGCACUGUGGCACGGGCUUGGCCGGGGCUGCCUGGCUCUGAGCAGGCUCGUGGGACGGCCCUGUAAGGACCCCACUGCAAGAAGGGCACAGAAGCACCUGAGUUGGCGUCUCAGCAGGGACCCCCCCAGGAAAUGCCCUUCUACAGCUGGUACUCAAGCUCUUUACACACUUAGCCAUCGCUAUACACAGUCCACGCUUGUGCACCCACACCCACAAGCUUAUGCUCACGUGCACUUUUUUUUUUUUUUGAGACGGAGUUUCGCUCUUGUCGCCCAGGCUGGAGUGCAAUGGCGCCAUCUCAGCUCACUGCAACCUCCGCCUCCUGGGUUCAAGAGAUUCUCCUCCCUCAGCCUCUAGAGUAACUGGGAUUACAGGCGCGCGCCACCACACCUGGCUAAUUUUUGUAUUUUUAGUAGAGAUGGAGGUUUGCCACGUUGGCCGGCUGGUCUCAAACUCCUGACCUCAAGUGACCCGCCCGCCUUGGCUUCCCAAAGUGCUGGGGUUACAGGCAUGAGCCACCGAGCCCGGCCUCACAGGCGGAUUCUUGAAUCCGUGUGUAUAAUUCUUCUCUUACAGUCAUCCAGCAAACAUGUACAGACCCUGCUCACGUUUCCACAUAACCAUCCUCGUCUUCCUUUUCUAUCCUUCGGGUCCGCGCAUUUGCCAUCCAUACAUGUUACUGGAUACAGUUAGCUGGAACAUAUGAAAUGCCCUUUCCUAGCACACACAAUGGAUCUACGUAUGUACAGGCCUAAAAACAGAAUACACAUCCUACAUGACAUGUACACAUGUGCACACA